rnacentral:rRNA from 1 species
GACGAACGCUGGCGGCGUGCCUAAUACAUGCAAGUCGAGCGGACUUAAAAAGCUUGCUUUUUAAGUUAGCGGCGGACGGGUGAGUAACACGUGGGCAACCUGCCUGUAAGACUGGGAUAACUUCGGGAAACCGGAGCUAAUACCGGAUAAUCCUUUCCUACUCAUGUAGGAAAGCUGAAAGACGGUUUACGCUGUCACUUACAGAUGGGCCCGCGGCGCAUUAGCUAGUUGGUGAGGUAACGGCUCGCCAAGGCGACGAUGCGUAGCCGACCUGAGAGGGUGAUCGGCCACACUGGGACUGAGACACGGCCCAGACUCCUACGGGAGGCAGCAGUAGGGAAUCUUCCGCAAUGGACGAAAGUCUGACGGAGCAACGCCGCGUGAGUGAUGAAGGUUUUCGGAUCGUAAAACUCUGUUGUUAGGGAAGAACAAGUACGAGAGUAACUGCUCGUACCUUGACGGUACCUAACCAGAAAGCCACGGCUAACUACGUGCCAGCCGCCGCGGUAA